AUCAUUACUGAGUGGCUGGCGCCGCCUCUGCGUUGCGAGAGCGCGCGGGGGGGGAGAGCGGUUACCCGACCUUUUGUCAUUUGGGCUGGCGGCUGUUUUCCAGGCUGGGGGCUUCUGGGCUGGGGUUCCCGAGUGGGAGGACCAGACUGGGGGGUUCCAGGGUGGAGACAGGCGGCGGCAUGUUCAGGUUCGGCGGAGGAGGCAGGGGCUGGCCGAGGUUGACCGGAUGGAUGGAAAGAUCGAUCGGGUUGACUGCGGGAGAGGCGACCUGCCCGCCGCCGGUGGGAUUACCAACUCUUUGUUAGCAAGGUGAAGUCUGAGGAAGCAAGAAAACGAAAAAGCAAAACUUUCAACAACGGAUCUCUUGGCUCUGGCAACGAUGAAGAACGCAGCGAAACGCGAAAGGUAAUGCGAAUUGCAGAUCAGUGAGUCAUCGAAUAUUUGAACGCACAUUGCGCCUCUCGGUAUUCCGGGAGGCACGCCUGUUCGAGCGCCAUUACACCGUCCAAGCUGCGGCUUGAUGUUGGGCGAGGCUGCGGUCCGAGAGGACGGGCGGCGCGCCUGGAAGGUAUGGGCGGCGGAGGCCAGACCGCGAGCGUAGCAAGACGAGAGUCACCCGCUCGGACGGAUCUGGCGGACGCGUGUCGAGAAGUCGAGGAUGCGAGGGCGACCGCGCAAAGACGACGAAACACACACAAGUUGGCCUCGAUCAGGUGGGAUACCCGCUGAAC
rnacentral:rRNA from 1 species